AGUUCAGAUUGCAGGCUGCAACUCGCCUGCAUGAAGUUGGAAUUGCUAGUAAUCGCGAAUCAGAAUGUCGCGGUGAAUACGUUCCCGGGCCUUGUACACACCGCCCGUCACACCAUGAGAGUCGAUAACACCCGAAGCCUGUGAGCUAACCGCAAGGGGGCAGCAGUCGAAAGUGGGGUUGAUGAUUGGGGUGAAGUCGUAACAAGGUAAC
rnacentral:rRNA from 1 species